GACGAACGCUGGCGGCGUGCUUAACACAUGCAAGUCGAACGGAAAGGCCCUGCUUUUGUGGGGUGCUCGAGUGGCGAACAGGUGAGUAACACGUGAGUAACCUGCCCUUGACUUUGGGAUAACUUCAGGAAACUGGGGCUAAUACCGGAUAGGAGCUCCUGCUGCAUGGUGGGGGUUGGAAAGUUUCGGCGGUUGGGGAUGGACUCGCGGCUUAUCAGCUUGUUGGUGGGGUAGUGGCUUACCAAGGCUUUGACGGGUAGCCGGCCUGAGAGGGUGACCGGCCACAUUGGGACUGAGAUACGGCCAAGACUCCUACGGGAGGCAGCAGUGGGGAAUAUUGCACAAUGGGCGGAAGCCUGAUGCAGCAACGCCGCGUGCGGGAUGACGGCCUUCGGGUUGUAAACCGCUUUCGCCUGUGACGAAGCGUGAGUGACGGUAAUGGGUAAAGAAGCACCGGCUAACUACGUG
rnacentral:rRNA from 1 species